rnacentral:lncRNA from 1 species
CCUUUUUCAAUAUGAGCUUCUUCCGCUUCUAUAUCAGAAGGAAUGGAGUGGGAAUCUUCAGACUCGUGUGUCUCAUCUUCCAUAUGACUAGGAUUGGAACGAGUUUCUUCAACACCACUUCCUUGGGCAUGAAUUGAGGUUCUAAGAGUUUCUCCAACACUACUUCCUUGGGCAUCAGUUGAAGUUGUAUGAGUUUCUUCAACAUUACUUCCUUCGGCAUGAGUAGAGGUUGUUUGAGUAGCAUUACUUCCUUGGUUGGAUUCUUUUAAUAUGCGACGCCCAAUAUUUAAUUUUCUCGUCGUCCUUCCCAUUGCUGUAAUACUUUCAAUUUAGCAAGUGGGUGAUUAACAGAAACUUGAACUAGCUUUUGACAUAGAAUAACAAAUGAUAGAAAUAUAAUUUUUAAAUUAUGUAAACUUAAAAUAUCAACAAUUAGCAACAAUAUGAUGACCAUAAAAUACAAAGGGAAUGAAAAUAUAUAUAGAAAAAAAAUAAUGAGUAUCAAAUCAAAUUCAUUAACUAAACAAAAAGUCAAGUCUAAUUGCAUAGGAAAAGUAUAAACUCAUUGACAAUUAAAACAUAUCCUUCCCUUCUUCAUCCCCAUCCUCAACCAAAACUUAUGGUUUAGCAGGGGCAACCCAACCAAAACUGAUAGCAGAACAGAAUCAAUCCAACACUAAAAAAUUUCAAUCCUUGCCAUCUAUCUAAAAUUAAAUAACACCACCUAUAACACAACUCAAAACAAGAACACCUAUAGCAGUAGCAAAGAAAAACCAUUCCAACGCAUGAUAAUGCCAUCCUUUUUUUUUAACACUGAUAAUGUCAUUCCUUGAUAUCUAAAAUUUAAUAACCCCAUCUAUAAUAACAAUUCAAAAUAGCAUCACCUAUAGCAGCUAUACAAAUGGACUUAGCAGUUAGCACCAUCACAAUUAAUAGAUUUUAUAAUUUCAGUUCCACAAUGAUGAUAUGGCCUUAUUCAAUUGUUACGGAGCAUGUUAUCAACUACACAACUUAUAUCAACUAUGAAUUGAACUAGCAAUUAGAGAAAGGAUGAGAAAUAGUAAAAAGUAAAUGAAAGAUUGACUUCAAGCUACACAAAUCAAAGCAAAAUUGGGGAACACUUGAAACUAAAGCUAACCACAAAUUUAAGGAACAACAAAAUCAAUUAGGGUUUUUAUAUGAGAUUUGAGGAAGAACACACAAUUCAAAUUAAAGCUAAUGACAUACGUAAGGAGCGACAAAAUCAAUUGGGGAUUUUAUAUGAGAUUUGAGGAAAACACAAUUGAAAUUAAAGCUAACCACAUAUUUAAAAUUAGAAUACAAACCUUUCUUUUCUGCAGCAAUGGAGAGGAAUUGAGAGGGUUCCGGAAACAAUAGAGAAUUGAGAGGGUUUCUGCAACAAUGGAGAGAGCGACAGUUAACCUGAGAGCAGCGGAAGUGCCUUCGCGAAGAGCGAUAGUUAACAUGAGAACUUACCUCGCGAAGAAGGACGGCGAAGAAGGACGACUCACAGUGGGAGAGAGCGGCGGUUACUACUCUCAGUGGGAGACUGAAGGAUUAAUCAGUGGUUCUCAAAUUUAAGAAUGAAAUUUUCUCAAAUUUUUAGGGUUCACAUGUCCCGCCAAUGUGAAAAAGUAGUGGGAAAUAUUUUAUACUAAAAGAAAAAAGUAAUGAUAGAAGAAC